rnacentral:rRNA from 1 species
CAAGGUUUCCGUAGGUGAACCUGCGGAAGGAUCAUUAAUG